rnacentral:rRNA from 1 species
GAGAGGACCGGGAUGGACGCACCGCUGGUGUACCAGUUGUUCUGCCAAGGGCAUCGCUGGGUAGCUAUGUGCGGACGGGAUAAGUGCUGAAAGCAUCUAAGCAUGAAGCCCCCCUCAAGAUGAGAUUUCCCAUUCCGCAAGGAAGUAAGGUCCCUGAAAGAUGAUCAGGUUGAUAGGUCUGAGGUGGAAGUGUGGCGACACAUGGAGCUGACAGAUACUAAUCGAUCGAGGACUUAACCUA